GUUCGCUGCCGCAUAGGCAGCUCAGAAA
rfam:Physcomitrella patens subsp. patens PHYPAscaffold_9770 genomic scaffold, whole genome shotgun sequence.